rnacentral:rRNA from 1 species
AAUAGAUACCCCGGUAGUCCACGCCGUAAACGAUGAGUGCUAAGUGUUAGGGGGUUUCCGCCCCUUAGUGCUGCAGCUAACGCAUUAAGCACUCCGCCUGGGGAGAACGGUCGCAAGACUGAAACUCAAAGGAAUUGACGGGGGCCCGCACAAGCGGUGGAGCAUGUGGUUUAAUUCGAAGCAACGCGAAGAACCUUACCAGGUCUUGACAUCCCAUUGACCACUAUGGAGACAUAGUUUUCCCUUCGGGGACAACGGUGACAGGUGGUGCAUGGUUGUCGUCAGCUCGUGUCGUGAGAUGUUGGGUUAAGUCCCGCAACGAGCGCAACCCUUGUUCUUAGUUGCCAUCAUUUAGUUGGGCACUCUAAGGAGACUGCCGGUGACAAACCGGAGGAAGGUGGGGAUGACGUCAAAUCAUCAUGCCCCUUAUGACCUGGGCUACACACGUGCUACAAUGGACGGUACAAACGGUUGCCAACCCGCGAGGGGGAGCUAAUCCGAUAAAACCGUUCUCAGUUCGGAUUGUAGGCUGCAACUCGCCUACA